GCUUUGGUAGCGGGGCGGCAGAGCGGCUGACUUGUAAUCAGCAGGUUGUGGGGUCAAGACCCGCCCAAAGCACCA
rnacentral:tRNA from 1 species